CCAUGUUUUGAGAAAUAUGCUCAAGGGUCUGCAGGUGACCAGUGGGUUUAGCACCACGGGAAACCUUCCUCUAACAGCCCGUGUUGACAGAUACCUUUCCAUUUCUUCCAUUCUAGGACUCGCAGCUGUGGAAGGCCAGGUGUUUAAAAUAUGUUAGAUGUGCCUCUCCUUUCUCUACUAGUUUGUUGUUUUGUUUUUUAGCCUUGCCUGGGGCAUGUGGAAGUUCCUGGACCAGGGAUCGAACCCACACCGAAGCAGUGACCCAAGCCGUUGGCUUGGCAACACUGGAUCCUUAACUCAUUAUGCCACAAAAGAGCUCCUAUGCUAGUUUUAAUCUUCUUUUUAUUAGAAAAUGAAUCAAAUAAUCAUAUCUAUUCCUUCACCCCUGAACAUGGCGUUCCCCAAAUCUGGAGCUGUAGGAAACAUUUACUUAGAUUUAACUGUGGCUCCUGUGGCUGGUGGGGUGACCUCCUGAGAGGAGGUGAAGGUCCCUGCUCCGUGGAUGCUGUAGGAGCUGCACCUGGACUGGACGAGGGGCUGGAGGAAGUGGCUCCGCUCUGCAUUUCUCUUUGGCUGUUUUCUCCAUCAUUUGACUGAAACAACUUUUGAUGACUAAUUGAGUGAAUGGUCAAAGCUUAUUUUUUCAAUCAAAAUUCAAUUCCAGCAAAAAAUAGAGGCGUGAGAGGGAGUAAACAUUCAUGAAGCUUAUUUAAGCACCAGGCUUCCUUUCUGCAGAAAAUCAAAUUGCCUGGCAGAGGAAAACAGCUUCUUCCCAUCAAGAUCAUCAGAUUGAGUGUUUUUUACGCUGACUAAUCUGCUUUCCGGCUCAGUUUCCGGCUGGAAGGCAGUUUGGCAAAGCGGAAGGACCGGACGGAUUUGGGAUUAGAAUCUGGGCUGCUGCUUACCAGCUCUGUGACUUCAGAGUUCUCCAGACAUGCUUGGGAGGAAACUUCAGAGGGAAUUCCUUGAGGGUUUCCUGGGAACUGUGGGGCACCAUACCCCUUCCCUUGCGGCAGCUACAGCCCUCAGAUCCUGCCUCAGUGUUCGAGACAGCACUUCUCUACCUUCGUCAGUCCCUGGUGGCUUGUUAAAAAGACUUCAAAGGAGAAACUUCAGACUAGAAACCUCACUUGCCAUUCACAUUUCUUUAAACAUUGAAGAUACAACUGUAAAGAACAUUUCUGUGAAUGCUAAUUAGCCUCCAGAGAGGGAGAAAAAAGAGGAUGGAAGAGAGAGGCAGACACAGAAAAAUGCUGCAGGGAUGGCAGGGGAGCACGGAGUAACUCCUUGGAUUCUGUAAAAUAACCUUUAACGUAUGCCUCAUGAAGGUGAAAAGGACUAACUAUCGACAACAAAAGGAUCUGAUCCCAGAGAUGAGUAAGACUAGAGACAGUGCUAGAGUGAAAUUUCCUUUUUCAAAGAGGCUAACUAAGUGGGUCAGGCUGUCCCCUUCACAAAGACAGUGGAGACCACCCAGAAUGGGGUGCCAUAGGUGCUGGGAGUGUGGGGUGUGAUCUGCGGGUGGCUGUUCAGGCUCUCAUCUCUCCCCCCCCCUUUUUUUUUUGUCUUUUUGCCUUUUCUAGGGCUGCUCCCACGGCAUAUGGAGGUUCCCAGGCUAGGGGUCUAAUUGGAGCUGUAGCUGCAGGCCUACGCCAGAGCCACAGCAACGCCAGAUCCAAGCCGCAUCUGCUUACCUACACCACAGCUCAGGGCAAUGCCAGAUCCUUAACCCACUGAGCAAGGCCAGGGAUUGAACCCGCAACCUCAUGGUUCCUAGUCGGAUUCGUUAACCACCAAGCCACAACGGGAACUCCUCAUCCCCAAUCUUUCAUUCCUACACCCAUGAACCCCCAGUCACUUACAUCUGAACUCCUGCUUUAAUAGGAAGCACACAAAGAAGAAUCUUACUUUAGCAGCAGAUACAUUUAUAAACUCUACCUUAUUGAAUUCUAACAAUAGCCAGAUGAAGGAGAUGCUUAGGAAGUACUAUCUCCACUUUAUAAGUGAGGAAACUGAGUAUCAAAAGGUUACACCUGGGUCUGACUCCUAACAGUGGAUCAGGCUGCUUCUAGGAUUUGGGUCUUGAAAGUUUGGUCUGUUGCUAUUGUUUCAAUCUUUAUUUUCUUCUCUAAUUACCAAGUAAAUACAUUCUUACUAAAAGCAUUUUAAAAAUAUUGAAACUUAAAAAAAUAUAAAAAUCAUUAGUAGCCAAUAGUGAUUCUCUUUUCUUUAUGGCUCUGAUAAAUACUGUCACUAGUAAGAAGCUCUGUUAGAAAUGCUUUCAGCUGUUUGGAGUUCCCGUUGUGGCUCAGUGGUUAACAAGCGUGACCAGUCUCCAGGAGGACGCAGGUUCUGUCCCUGUUCUCGAUCUAGCGUUGCUGAGCUGUGGUGUAGGUCGAAGACAAGGCUUGGAUCCCCUGUUGCUGUGGCUGUGGUGUAGAUCGGUGUUGCCAGAGGCCAGCUCCGGCGGCCAGGGAGUGUAUACUUUCCCGAAGAAGAUGGGCAGAAGUCGGCUUUUGCAUCGGAGACAGUCUCUUUGUCCCUUCCUUCAGGGUGCUGGACUGCUCAAACUUUAUUGGCAACAGUAGUUGAUUAUAUAGACAGUUUUUCACUACAGAUUACAUCACAGUGUUAAAAGUACAUUAGUUAACUAUUACAUGGUAUAGCAGCUAUAUAUCAUGUUUUAAGAUCUCUAUCUUAACUAAACUUAGUGAGUACUUUGAAGAGGCCAUAGACACAAGAAUUUGGCAUUCACAAACCUUGUUUGUAGGCUGGUGCUUAUCUUCAAAGCGUUAUGGCAGGGAGAUAGUGUAAGUAAAUAUAAACCCACUUAACUAGCUAUCACUUAAAAGCUUUUGAAAUCAAGGACAAAACUCACAGCUAGGUUUUUUGGAUAAUAAUGUCUAACUUUUAUGAACCUCAUUAAGAGCCUAACUCUAAAGUUUACUAUAUAACUAGUUAAUAGAUAAACACUAUGUUUUAACUAAGUUGGAUUUAAAUAGGGGAAAGUCCUUCAGGAUGAAAUUCUUAUUAUUGUUGUAACUUUGUUAAAUCACAAAUCACCACAGGAAAAUAAGAAUGGAAAAUAAGAACAAUAAGUAAAUAAUCAGGAAAGACUGGGGAAAACUGAAUAACAAAUAAAACAACAGGAAAGACUAGGUCACCCGAGAAACAAUCCAUGUUCUCCAGCGCAAACAUGGAAAUUGUUUUCCCAGGAAAGCCCCAAUUCUUCCCCAUCAACAUCAAAAUGAGAGCUGUGUAACCUGAGGCCUGCCCUCGGCUUGUACUGUGCAGGCAGGCUUUCAUCCUGACCAGAGGCCCACCUUCGGCUUUUUUCCUGACCAGGAGCCCACCUUCAGCUUGUACCAUUCAGGUGAGGUCCCUGCCUUCAGGUUUUUUUUUUUUUUUGCCAUCAGGCAAGGUCCUUGUUUUGAGUCCCUGCAUUUUUUCGACUCCCCGCAGACCGGCAGCUACAGCUCUGAUUUGACUCCUAGUGUUUGAACAGACAACUCGAAGUCUAGCACAAAGAUAGUGUUUAAAGAGAUGUUUAAAAAAUAGGUUUUUUGGUUUGUUUUAUUUUGUUUGUACAUUAGAAAGCCUGAGCAAUUGCCAUGUUGACUUAGUAGCUCAUCAGUGGAUUGACAUCUUGAAAAUAUUCUUGGUCUUUGCCUUAUGGUUAAAAAAUGGCUAUGUUCAAGGUCACAGCCAUGUUCAAGGUAGUAAGAAAAGGCAAGGGCCUAGCAUCACCUGUUCCUUUAUGAGAAGAGCAGAAGCUUCCCCAGAGGUUCCUGGCAGAUUUCUUCCAUUUACAAAUUAUGGGCCAUAAGCAAGUCACACAGCCUCUCUUACCCUUAAGGGAGGCUGGGAAAAACAUUUUGCUCUUCCAGACUCUCCAACUGAAGGGGAUUGGGAGUGGGAGUUGGGUUCGCCAAUCAGUGGCAUCUGUCACUGUGCUCUGACUGGCCAGGCCUGGUUCACAUGUCCCCCUGGAGUUAGGAUUGACUCUGUCUUCUUCACCUGGCUGAAACUGGUAGAAGAAAACUGGAUGCUGUAAACAUAAAAGGAAGAUGGGUGCAAGGGAGGCAAGAAUGGCAAGAAUAUGCAGAUGUCCAUCAUAUUUUGUAUCUGUUAACGUUUACCGUAUAGCAAAUCACCCCUGAGCUUAAUGGCUGAAGCCCGUGAUUCAUUGCAAUUCCGUGGAUCACUUGAGCAGUUCUUCUGUUCUGGGCCUGCUGAGGUGACUGUUUAGGUCUCUUUCAACUCUGGGUACCUACGCGUUCUUAGUGACGUUAGUUUUCUUAUGUUUUUCCUCACCCUUUCCACCUUGCCCUGCUCCUGGUGUCUGCUAGCAUACUCUAAAGGCUUUGUCGCCUUUUGAGGUAUAUCAUAAUCAGAUGUAAGCAGUCAUUUUUAAGGUUCACCGUUAAGUGCUCCAUACACACAGUUUGUAAAAUCCUCACCACAACCCUAUAAGGUAUUGUGUCCAUUUGCAGAUGAAGAAACUGAGGCUCUAAAAAAGGUCAGGUGUCUUGUUCAACCUCCCUUAGCCAGUAAUUCUGAGCUAAGGGUCCCCUUAUUCUGAGGUCAGUGCUCUUUUCCCCACGGCACAGCAGUUUACUGGCUUCCUCAGAACGGACCGGGCCCGUCCAUCAAUUUAAGCUGCUGUUGGAAAUUGUUAUUGAUUCUGGUCAAGAGGAAAUCCUCUUUGAGGAUUCCUUUUUGAGAUUUCUAGAAUUAAGAGAAUUAGAGAGAGAGAGCCCUUAGACUUCAAGGCUAGAAAUACUGCUGCUAUUUACAACGACUGAUUUUUGUGAGUCAGGAUUUUUGUUCUGGGUAACCAAAAUAAAGUUGAGAAGUAAACAAACUACAUGCGAUGGUCACUAUCAUCCAAUAUCUCAAUUUCGAAUUUUUCUGAUCAUCAAAGCAACCUCUUGAUUAUUACUGACUUUAAGAAUAUUAUAAAAUUUAAAUUUUUUAAAAAUGUUACACAAUUUCUAAAGGUUACUUUUCAUUUACGGUUAUUACAAAAUUUUGGCUAUACUCCCUGUGUUGUCCAAUACAUCCUUGAGUCUACCUUCCAUCCAAUAGUUGGCACUUCUCCCACUUCCCCAUCUCCCCAGUGAUAACUACUAGUAUGUUUUCUCCGUGAGUCUGCUUCUUUUAUAUUAUAUUCACUAGUUUGUUGUAUUUUUUAGAUUGCACAUGUAGGCAAUAUGGUGCAAUAUUUAUCUUUCUCUGUUUGACUUAUUUUACUUAGCGUAAUGCCCUCCAAGUCCAUCCAUGUUGCUACAAAUGGCAAAAUUUUGGUCUCUUUAUGACUGAGUGAAGUAUAUAAAGUAUAUACACCACAUCUUCUCUGUCUGUUCAUCUGUUGAUGAACCCUUGGGUUGUUUCCAUGUCUUGGCAAUUGUAAAUAAUGUUGCUGUGAACA
rnacentral:lncRNA from 1 species